rnacentral:rRNA from 1 species
GAUGAACGCUGGCGGCGUGCCUAAUACAUGCAAGUCGAGCGAAUGGAUUAAGAGCUUGCUCUUAUGAAGUUAGCGGCGGACGGGUGAGUAACACGUGGGUAACCUGCCCAUAAGACUGGGAUAACUCCGGGAAACCGGGGCUAAUACCGGAUAACAUUUUGAACCGCAUGGUUCGAAAUUGAAAGGCGGCUUCGGCUGUCACUUAUGGAUGGACCCGCGUCGCAUUAGCUAGUUGGUGAGGUAACGGCUCACCAAGGCAACGAUGCGUAGCCGACCUGAGAGGGUGAUCGGCCACACUGGGACUGAGACACGGCCCAGACCCCUACGGGAGGCAGCGGUAGGGAAUCUUCCGCAAUGGACGAAAGUCUGACGGAGCAACGCCGCGUGAGUGAUGAAGGCUUUCGGGUCGUAAAACUCUGUUGUUAGGGAAGAACAAGUGCUAGUUGAAUAAGCUGGCACCUUGACGGUACCUAACCAGAAAGCCACGGCUAACUACGUGCCAGCCGCCGCGGUAA